rnacentral:rRNA from 1 species
AUUGAACGCUGGCGGCAGGCCUAACACAUGCAAGUCGAACGGGUGGCGGACGGGUGAGUCAUGUCUGGGAAACUGCCCGAUGGGGGGGGAUAACUACUGGAGACGGUAGCUCAUACCGCAUACCAUCGGAUGUGCCCAGGUGGGAUUAGCUAGUAGGUGGGGUAACGGCUCACGCAGGCGACGAUACCUAGCUGGGCUGAGAGGAUGACCAGCCACACUGGAACUGAGACACGGUCCAGACUCCUACGGGAGGCAGCAGUGGGGAAUAUUGGACAAUGGGCGCAAGCCUGAUGCAGCCAUGCCGCGUGUGUGAAGAAGGCCUUCGGGUUGUAAAGUACUUUCAGCGAGGAGGCGUUACUCGCAGAAGAAGCACCGGCUAACUCCGUGCCAGCAGCCGCGGUAAUUC